ensembl:snRNA U6 U6 spliceosomal RNA
GUGCUUGCUUUGGCAGCACAUAUACUAAUAUUGAAAAACUAUAGAGAAGAUAAGCAUGGCUCCUGCUCAAGGAUAACCCAAAAAUUCAUGAAAUGUUUCAUAUUUCU